UACGGAGGAUCCGAGCGUUAUCCGGAUUUAUUGGGUUUAAAGGGUGCGUAGGCGGUUUGAUAAGUUAGAGGUGAAAUGUCGGGGCUCAACCCCGAAACUGCCUCUAAUACUGUUGGACUAGAGAAUAGUUGCGGUAGGCGGAAUGUAUGGUGUAGCGGUGAAAUGCUUAGAUAUUGCGCAGAACUCCGAUUGCGAAGGCAGCAUACCGGCGCGCAACUGACGCUGAAGCACGAAAGCGUGGGUAUCGAACAGG
rnacentral:rRNA from 1 species